UGACUNGAGUGCAGAAGGGGAGAGUGGAAUUCCAUGUGUAGCGGUGAAGUGCGUAGAUAUAUGGAGGAACACCAGUGGCGAAAGCGGCUCUCUGGUCUGUCACUGACGCUGAGGCUCGAAAGCGUGGGUAGCGAACAGGAUUAGAUACCCUGGUAGUNCACGCCGUAAACGAUGAGUGCUAGGUGUUAGGCCCUUUCCGGGGCUUAGUGCCGGAGCUACGCAAUAAGCACUCCGCCUGGGGAGUACGACCGCAAGGUUGAAACUCAAAGGAAUUGACGGGGGCCCGCACAAGCGGUGGAGCAUGUGGUUUAAUUCGAAGCAACGCGAAGAACCUUACCAGGUCUUGACAUCCCGAUGCUAUUCUUAGAGAUAGGAAGUUACUUCGGUACAUCGGAGACAGGUGGUGCAUGGUUGUCGUCAGCUCGUGUCGUGAGAUGUUGGGUUAAGUCCCGCAACGAGCGCAACCCUUAUUGUUAGUUGCCAUCAUUAAGUUGGGCACUCUAGCGAGACUGCCGGUAAUAAACCGGAGGAAGGUGGGGAUGACGUCAAAUCAUCAUGCCCCUUAUGACCUGGGCUACACACGUGCUACAAUGGUCGGUACAACGAGUUGCGAGCCGGUGACGGCAAGCUAAUCUCUGAAAGCCGAUCUCAGUUCGGAUUGGAGGCUGCAACUCGCCUCCAUGAAGUCGGAAUCGCUAGUAAUCGCGGAUCAGCACGCCGCGGUGAAUACGUUCCCGGGCCUUGUACACACCGCCCGUCACACCACGAGAGUUUGUAGCACCCGAAGUCGGUGAGGUAACCUUUUAGGGGCCAGCCGCC
rnacentral:rRNA from 1 species